rnacentral:rRNA from 1 species
ACGAACGCUGGCGGCGUGCCUAAUACCUGCAAGUUGAGCGCUGAAGAUUGGUGCUUGCACCAAUUUGAAGAGCAGCGAACGGGUGAGUAACGCGUGGGGAAUCUGCCUUUGAGCGGGGGACAACAUUUGGAAACGAAUGCUAAUACCGCAUAAUAACUUUAAACAUAAGUUUUAAGUUUGAAAGAUGCAAUUGCAUCACUCAAAGAUGAUCCCGCGUUGUAUUAGCUAGUUGGUGAGGUAAAGGCUCACCAAGGCGAUGAUACAUAGCCGACCUGAGAGGGUGAGCGGCCACAUUGGGACUGAGACACGGCCCAAACUCCUACGGGAGGCAGCAGUAGGGAAUCUUCGGCAAUGGACGAAAGUCUGACCGAGCAACGCCGCGUGAGUGAAGAAGGUUUUCGGAUCGUAAAACUCUGUUGGUAGAGAAGAACGUUGGUGAGAGUGGAAAGCUCAUCAAGUGACGGUAACUACCCAGAAAGGGACGGCUAACUACGUG